rnacentral:rRNA from 1 species
CCCAGACUCCUACGGGAGGCAGCAGUCGAGCCUCCUUCACAAUGGGGGCCCCCCUGAUGGUGCGACGCCGCGUGGGGGCAUGAAGGUCUUCGGAUUGGAAACCCCUUUCAUGUGGGAGCAAAUUAAAAAGCUCGUACCACAAGAGGAAGAGACGGCUAACUCUGUGCCAGCAGCCGCGGUAAUACAGAGGUCUCAAGCGUUGUUCGGAAUCACGGGGCGGAAAGCGUGCGGAGGCUGUUUCGUAAGUCGUGUGUGAAAGGCGCGGGCUCAACCCGCGGACGGCGCAGGAGACGGCGAGACGAGAGGAAGGGAGGGGGAACCGGAAUGCUCGGGGGAGCAGUGAAAGGCGGAGAGAGCGAGAGGAACACUCGGGGCGAAGGCGGGUGCCGGGACAGGAACUGACGCGGAGGCACGAAGGCCAGGGAAGCGAAAGGGAGGAGAGACCCCGGUAU